rnacentral:rRNA from 1 species
CACGUAGGGCGCAAGCGUUGUCCGGAAUUAUUGGGCGUAAAGAGCUCGUAGGCGGCUCGGUAAGUCGGGUGUGAAAUUUCGAGGCUCAACCUCGAAACGCCACCCGAUACUGCUGUGGCUAGAGUCCGGUAGGGGAGCGUGGAAUUCCUGGUGUAGCGGUGAAAUGCGCAGAUAUCAGGAGGAACACCAGCGGCGAAGGCGGCGCUCUGGGCCGGUACUGACGCUGAGGAGCGAAAGCGUGGGGAUCAAACAGG